UAAUUAUACCAAUAACUUCGCCUUUUCU
rnacentral:piRNA from 1 species